rnacentral:rRNA from 1 species
AUGAUAGAAAUUUAAACCCUUUUUAAAGUAUCAAUUGGAGGGCAAGUCUGGUGCCAGCAGCCGCGGUAAUUCCAGCUCCAAUAGCGUAUAUUAAAAUUGUUGCAGUUAAAAAGCUCGUAGUUGAAGUUCUGCUAAAAGUAACCGGUCUGCUUUUAAUAAAAGUGGUAUCUUGGUGUGUAUUUAGCAAUGAUGUCCUUUGAAGUGUUUUUUACUUUAUUGUAAUAAAGCAUAUUCAGGACUUUUACUUUGAGAAAAUUAGAGUGUUUCUAGCAGGCCGACGCUUUGAAUACUGCAGCAUGGAAUAAUAAGAUAGGAUUUUAGUUCUACAUUAUUGGUUU